rnacentral:tRNA from 1 species
AUAGAUGUAGCUCAGUGAUAGGGCACUUGCCUAUCAUGUGGGAGGCCCUGGGUUCAAUCCCUAGCAUUGUA